UACGUAGGGCGCAAGCGUUGUCCGGAAUUAUUGGGCGUAAAGAGCUCGUAGGUGGUUUGUCGCGUCUGCCGUGAAAGCCCGGGGCUUGAACUCCGGGUCUGCGGUGGAUACGGGCAGACUAGAGGCAGGUAGGGGGAGAACGGAAUUCCCGGUGUAGCGGUGAAAUGCGCAGAUAUCGGGAGGAACACCGGUGGCGAAGGCGGCACUCUGGGCCGGUACUGACGCUGAGGAGCGAAAGCGUGGGGAGCGAACAGG
rnacentral:rRNA from 1 species